rnacentral:rRNA from 1 species
AGUUUGAUCCUGGCUCAGGAUGAACGCUAGCUACAGGCUUAACACAUGCAAGUCGAGGGGCAGCAUGGUCUUAGCUUGCUAAGACUGAUGGCGACCGGCGCACGGGUGAGUAACACGUAUCCAACCUGCCGUCUACUCUUGGACAGCCUUCUGAAAGGAAGAUUAAUACAAGAUGGCAUCAUGAGUCCGCAUGUUCACAUGAUUAAAGGUAUUCCGGUAGACGAUGGGGAUGCGUUCCAUUAGAUAGUAGGCGGGGUAACGGCCCACCUAGUCUUCGAUGGAUAGGGGUUCUGAGAGGAAGGUCCCCCACAUUGGAACUGAGACACGGUCCAAACUCCUACGGGAGGCAGCAGUGAGGAAUAUUGGUCAAUGGGCGAGAGCCUGAACCAGCCAAGUAGCGUGAAGGAUGACUGCCCUAUGGGUUGUAAACUUCUUUUAUAAAGGAAUAAAGUCGGGUAUGCAUACCCGUUUGCAUGUACUUUAUGAAUAAGGAUCGGCUAACUCCGUGCCAGCAGCCGCGGUAAUACGGAGGAUCCGAGCGUUAUCCGGAUUUAUUGGGUUUAAAGGGAGCGUAGAUGGAUGUUUAAGUCAGUUGUGAAAGUUUGCGGCUCAACCGUAAAAUUGCAGUUGAUACUGGAUAUCUUGAGUGCAGUUGAGGCAGGCGGAAUUCGUGGUGUAGCGGUGAAAUGCUUAGAUAUCACGAAGAACUCCGAUUGCGAAGGCAGCCUGCUAAGCUGCAACUGACAUUGAGGCUCGAAAGUGUGGGUAUCAAACAGGAUUAGAUACCCUGGUAGUCCACACGGUAAACGAUGAAUACUCGCUGUUUGCGAUAUACGGCAAGCGGCCAAGCGAAAGCGUUAAGUAUUCCACCUGGGGAGUACGCCGGCAACGGUGAAACUCAAAGGAAUUGACGGGGGCCCGCACAAGCGGAGGAACAUGUGGUUUAAUUCGAUGAUACGCGAGGAACCUUACCCGGGCUUAAAUUGCAGAUGAGUUACGGUGAAAGCCGUAAGCCGCAAGGCAUCUGUGAAGGUGCUGCAUGGUUGUCGUCAGCUCGUGCCGUGAGGUGUCGGCUUAAGUGCCAUAACGAGCGCAACCCUUGUUGUCAGUUACUAACAGGUCAUGCUGAGGACUCUGACAAGACUGCCAUCGUAAGAUGUGAGGAAGGUGG